AUGAUGGUGAAGGUUGGAGUGAACAGAUUUGGCUACAUUGGGUGUAUGGUUAUGAUUACUAGGUCUGCCAUCCUAUCUGCAUCUGGCAAAGUGGAGAUUGUUACCAUUAAUAAACACUUCAUUGACUUCAACUAUAUAGUAUAUAUGUUGCAGUAUGAUUCUACCCAUGACUCAAUGGCACAAUCAAGGCUAAGGAUGGGAAGUUUUUCAUCAUUGGGAAACCCAUCACAGUCUUCCAGUAGUGAAAUCCUUUUAACAUCCAAAACAGUGAGGCUGGUGCUGACUAUAUUGUGAAGUCUACUGCUGUCUGGACCGCAAUGGAGAGAGCACAGGACCUUUUGAAGUGUGAGGCCAAAAUGGUUAUCAUCUUGACCCCUUCUACUGGUGCCCCCAUGUUUUAAGUGGGGGGUAAAUCAUGAGAAGUAUGACAAUUUGUUCAAAAUUGGCAGCAACAUUUCCUAUUCCAUGAAUGAAUUAGUCCCUCUGGCCAAGGUCAAGUACAACAACUUUGCUAUCAUGGUAAGGCUCAUGAUCUCGAUCCAUACAUACUCUCACUGACACUCAGAAGACUGUGGAUGGCCUCUCUGGAAAGCUGUGGUCUGAUGGCCAUGGGCUUCCCAUAAUAUCAUCCCUACAUCUGCUGGUGCUGUCAAGACUGUGGUAAGUUUAUCCCAGAGUUGAAUGGGAAGCUCACUAUCAUGACCUUCUGUGUUCCUAUCCCCAGUGUGUCGAUCAUGGAUGCGUAUACCACCAUCAGAGAGUUGUCAGAUGUAGUGACAUCAAGAAGGUGGUGAAGCAGGCACCUGAGGGCCUAUUAAAAGGUACCCCGUGCUACACAGAGGACCAGCUU
rnacentral:lncRNA from 1 species